UGUUCAAAGUGAUAACGAUUUCAAGCGUUAUCCGGUGUGUCGUUGAAGUGGUUGUUUAUAGCUUCAGGCGGCUGUCUCGAAUGGGUCUCUGGAAUCAGGCUUGCCUGGUGAUGGGGAUGAGUUCGAUCAGUUGUCUUGGGGUUAUAUAGUCAAGCAACUAAGCGCAUACGGUGGAUGCCUUGGCAGUCAGAGGCGAUGAAAGACGUGGAAGCCUGCGAUAAGGUUCGGGGAGCUGGCAAACGAGCUGUGAUCCGGACAUUUCUGAAUGGGGAAACCCACCGACUUUCGGGUCGGUAUCUUGCACUGAAUACAUAGGUGCAAGAGGCGAACCGGGGGAACUGAAACAUCUAAGUACCCCGAGGAAAAGAAAUCAACCGAGAUUCCCUAAGUAGCGGCGAGCGAACGGGGACUAGCCCUUAAGCUGGACAACUGGUAGGAGAAGGCUCUGGAAAGUGCCGCCAUAGUGGGUGAUAGCCCCGUAUCCGAAACCUGAGUCUGGUGAAAUCGAGUAGGACGGGACACGUGGUAUCCUGUCUGAACAUGGGGGGACCAUCCUCCAAGGCUAAAUACUCCUGACUGACCGAUAGUGAACCAGUACCGUGAGGGAAAGGCGAAAAGAACCCCUGUGAGGGGAGUGAAAUAGACCCUGAAACCGUAUGCGUACAAGCAGUCGGAGCGGACUUGUUCCGUGACGGCGUACCUUUUGUAUAAUGGGUCAGCGACUUAUGUUCAGUGGCGAGGUUAACCGUUUAGGGGAGCCGUAGGGAAACCGAGUCUGAAUAGGGCGAUUUAGUCGCUGGGCAUAGACCCGAAACCGGGCGAUCUAUCCAUGAGCAGGUUGAAGGUGCCGUAACAGGCACUGGAGGACCGAACCCACUGUCGUUGAAAAGCCAGGGGAUGACUUGUGGAUCGGAGUGAAAGGCUAAUCAAGCCCGGAGAUAGCUGGUUCUCCCCGAAAGCUAUUUAGGUAGCGCCUCGGACGAAUACCACAGGGGGUAGAGCACUGUUUCGGCUAGGGGGUCAUCCCGACUUACCAACCCGAUGCAAACUCCGAAUACCUGUGAGUACUAUCCGGGAGACACACGGCGGGUGCUAACGUCCGUCGUGAAGAGGGAAACAACCCAGACCGCCAGCUAAGGUCCCCAAGUACCAGUUAAGUGGGAAACGAUGUGGGAAGGCUCAGACAGCUAGGAGGUUGGCUUAGAAGCAGCCACCCUUUAAAGAAAGCGUAAUAGCUCACUAGUCGAGUCGGCCUGCGCGGAAGAUGUAACGGGGCUCAAACUGGUCACCGAAGCUGCGGCUGCAUACUUUGUAUGCGGGGUAGGGGAGCGUUCUGUAAGCCUGCGAAGGUGUGUUGUAAAGCAUGCUGGAGGUAUCAGAAGUGCGAAUGCUGACAUGAGUAACGACAAUGCGGGUGAAAAACCCGCACGCCGGAAGACCAAGGGUUCCUGCGCAACGCUAAUCGGCGCAGGGUGAGUCGGCCCCUAAGGCGAGACCGAAAGGUGUAGUCGAUGGGAAACGGGUUAAUAUUCCCGUACCUUGGAUAGCUGCGAUGGAGAGACGGAGAAGGCUAGGUGAGCCGGGCGACGGUUGUCCCGGUUUAAGCAUGUAGGGAGUGGACUUAGGCAAAUCCGGGUCCACAAUCCCGAGACGCGACGACGACUGCCCAUUGGGCGGGAAGUCAUUGAUGCCCUGCUUCCAGGAAAAUCUUCUAAGCUUCAGGCUAUUCGAGACCGUACCCCAAACCGACACAGGUGGUCAGGUAGAGAAUACCAAGGCGCUUGAGAGAACUCGGGUAAAGGAACUAGGCAAAAUGGUGCCGUAACUUCGGGAGAAGGCACGCUGGUUGUAUGUGAUACCCCUGCGGGUGGAGCAGAAGCCAGUCGAAGAUACCAGGCCCCUGCGACUGUUUAUUAAAAACACAGCACUGUGCAAACACGAAAGUGGACGUAUACGGUGUGACGCCUGCCCGGUGCCGGAAGGUUAAUUGAUGGGGUUAGCGCUUGCGCGAAGCUCUUGAUCGAAGCCCCGGUAAACGGCGGCCGUAACUAUAACGGUCCUAAGGUAGCGAAAUUCCUUGUCGGGUAAGUUCCGACCUGCACGAAUGGCGUAACGAUGGGGGCGCUGUCUCUACCCGAGACUCAGUGAAAUUGAAAUCGCCGUGAAGAUGCGGUGUAUCCGCGGCUAGACGGAAAGACCCCGUGAACCUUUACUAUAGCUUCACAGUGAACUUUGAGCAUGUUUGUGUAGGAUAGCUGGGAGGCUUUGAAGCGGGAACGCCAGUUCUCGUGGAGCCAACCUUGAAAUACCAGCCUGACAUGUUUGAGGUUCUAACUUCGUCCCCUGAUCGGGGAUAAGGACACUGUGUGGUGGGUAGUUUGACUGGGGCGGUCUCCUCCCAAAGCGUAACGGAGGAGCACAAAGGUGGGCUAAGCACGGUCGGACAUCGUGCGGUUAGUGUAAUGGCACAAGCCCGCUUGACUGCGAGACAGACACGUCGAGCAGGUACGAAAGUAGGUCAUAGUGAUCCGGUGGUUCUGUAUGGAAGGGCCAUCGCUCAACGGAUAAAAGGUACUCCGGGGAUAACAGGCUGAUACCGCCCAAGAGUUCACAUCGACGGCGGUGUUUGGCACCUCGAUGUCGGCUCAUCACAUCCUGGGGCUGAAGCCGGUCCCAAGGGUAUGGCUGUUCGCCAUUUAAAGUGGUACGCGAGCUGGGUUUAGAACGUCGUGAGACAGUUCGGUCCCUAUCUGCCGUGGACGUUGGAGAUUUGAGGAAAGCUGCUCCUAGUACGAGAGGACCGGAGUGGACGAACCUCUGGUGUUCGGGUUGUCACGCCAGUGGCAUUGCCCGGUAGCUAUGUUCGGACAGGAUAACCGCUGAAAGCAUCUAAGCGGGAAGCCCCUUCCAAGAUGAGAUCUCCCCGGGCCCUCGAGGCCCCUGAAGAGCCGUUCAAGACCAGGACGUUGAUAGGCCGGGUGUGUAAGCGCUGCGAGGCGUUGAGCUAACCGGUACUAAUUGCUCGUGCGGCUUGACUAU
rnacentral:rRNA from 1 species